rnacentral:tRNA from 1 species
CGGGGUGUAGCUCAGUCUGGUAGAGCGCUACGUUCGGGACGUAGAGGUCGCAGGUUCGA